UACGAAGGGAGCUAGCGUUGUUCGGAAUUACUGGGCGUAAGGGCGCGUAGGCGGACAUCUUAGUCAGGGGUGAAAUCCCAGGGCUCAACCCUGGAAUUGCCUUUGAUACUGGACGUCUCGAGUUCGGGAGAGGUGAGUGGAAUUCCGAGUGUAGAGGUGAAAUUCGUAGAUAUUCGGAGGAACACCAGAAGCGAAGGCGGCUCACUGGCCCGAUACUGACGCUGAGGCGCGAAAGCGUGGGGAGCAAACAGG
rnacentral:rRNA from 1 species